GUUUGGUUGAAGUUCACAAAUCCAUUGGAGAAUUAAACAAUCUUCUCAUUUUGAAUCUUAAGGGGUGUACAAACGUUCGGAGACUCCCAAGAAGCAUUUGGAAUUUGAAAUCUCUACAAAGUCUUAUUCUUUCUAGUUGUUCAAAAACCAAUGAACUGCCAGAGGAACUGGGACAUAUGGAAAGCUUAACAGAGCUUCUUGGUGAUGGUACUACCAUAAGGAAACUUCCCAUUUCUAUUGGGCUUUUGCAUAAUCUCAAAAGCUUGUCUUUCGGUGGAUGCAAAGGAUUACCAUCAAAAUCUUGGAAUCCAUUUAGUUGUUCAUUGGGAUCACCAAGAAGUGAUAAUGCCAUUACAUCUUUCCAGGCUUCUAUCUCUGGUUUACGCUUCUUAAGAUGCCUGAGUCUUAGGGACUGCAACCUACCCGGUAUGUUUCCCAAUGAUCUUGAGAGAUUAUCCUCAUUACAAGUGUUGGAUCUAGCCUUCAACAACUUUUGUGCGUUACCUGCUAGCAUCAGCCGCCUUCCCCAGCUUCAAUCCCUUUGGUUGCAUAAUUGUACGAAGCUCGGAUCACUUCCAGAGCUUCCAUCAAGUUUAAAUUACUUGGAUGCAGAUGGUUGCACGUCCAUGGAAAAGCUAUCCAAUCUUGCGAGUUCAUCCUCAUUGCAGUAGUUGGAUUUAGCUCAAAUUAAUAUUUGUAGUUUACCUGCAGACAUCAAUGGCCUUUCUCAACUGGAAGUUCUUACAUUGACAGAUUGCAUAAGGCUUCAGUCACUGCCAAUGCUUCCAUCAAACAUAAUCGCUUUGGAUGCAGCAGGUUGCACGGCAAUGGAAAGACUGUCAAGUUUGGCAAACUUAAAGAAGUUACAUUCCUUGUGUCUGAAUAAAAACAGGAAACUAAUUGAGGUUGAAGGCCUGGAGAGGUUGGAAAGUACAACUAUUCACAUGGAAAGGUGCAAUGGUUUGGCAAAUACUUUUAGGAAUAGCCUUUUUCAGGGGAUGAGUAAACCUGGUAUCAUUGACAUAUUUGUUCCUGGGGGAGACAUUCCUGAUUGGUUCAACUACCAAAAUGCAGGGUCCAGCAUAUAUUUUGAGGUGCCUCCACUGCCAAACCACAAGAUUCAAGGCUUGAUUAUAUGUGCUGUCAAUGGAGCAAACGAAGAAUUUGAACCAACCGACGAAGGACUUGAUGAAACAACAAAUGGUCCUAAAGCCACUUUCAUUAACAGGAUCAAGGUCUAGAAUGGAAAUACAACCCCAUAUUCAAUGGCGCUUCAGUAACAAAUCAGGAUCACAUAUGGGUGAGCAAUAUAGCAGAGGCAAUGUUUGUGGAUCUUUUGAAAGGAGGGGAUCAAGUGGAUGUCUCAAUAAUAAUGGGUGAACUUAUCCAGGUGAAGAAAUGUGUGAUCCAUCUGUUUCAGGGUACCUCUUCUCCAUAUGAUCUUGGAGGUGAGGAAGAUCACACAAAAAAUGAUAGGGGCGGGAGUGCAGUUACUGUUGAUUCGACGAGGAUCAAGGGCUUGAUUGGUUGAUCGGGGCUUGCCCCAAAAUGAAUUCCAAAGUGGUAAAUCCAAGUACCUUUGGCACUGGUUUUUUUCAGACCUUUCCUAGAGGACAUCUGAGGUGUUGGUAGACUAUAGAAUGAUUUGGCAUUAAUCUGAUAGGAAUUGAAUCCUCAUAGUAACAAAUACUCUGUUUUUUUUUGUAUUGUGAUUACAUUUGUAACAGAAUGCACUUCUCUUUGAAACCAAAACUGUAGGUUUUAUUGAUUUGUGUUAAUGGAUAGACUAUGUAAGAUGGUGAGUUGUUUGAGCUAGUGUAAUGUAUAGAGGAUUUUCCAGUAAAAUUUUCCAAUUUACAAAAGAAAAAAAAAAAGUGCGAUUUACAUCGACAGGUGUUAGUUUUAGAAAUGGAAAAGACAAUUUUAAUUACCCCUUCUUCUUCUUCUUCUUCUUCUUCUUCUUCUUCUUCUUGCCGUUGGCGUCCUGGAUGUAAGUCCAACAAGACACAUGGAUGUGACUGAUCCCUACAUGGAGCUCUGUUGUUAUACUUCAAUCUUACUUCACUUGCUUGGCUAUCUCUGGAUCUCUUCUACCUGGGAAGAUCGUUCCUGGCGUUACCCUAUCAGAUGGCACUCGACUUCAUUGCCGCUGCAAUGGUCAGUUACUCUCUUCUCUGUGUGUGUUCCGCUCUCGCUACUUAUGAUCGAUAAUAAGAUUCGAAUUAUAGUUUAUCUUUUCCUAAAUGAGUGGGAUACUACUUUGAGCUUCCAGCGUCAUGUUUCCGGCAUUUUGCAGGCCUUGUGUGUCUUCUUUUACUGGUUUCCCUCUUAGGGAUCGGCGCUGCCUUGAAGAUGAUAUCGCCAACGGUUAUUCUCUCUCUCUCUCUCUCUCUCUCUCUCUCUCUCUCUCCUCUGCCCUUCUUUGUGUUGCUUGUAUCACCCUAUUCAUUUUGUUGUUGAACUUUGACAAUUCUUCCUGUCGGGAGGAAAUUGUUGGUGUUUCAAUGUGCAAUUACCAUUUG